GACGAACGCUGGCGGCGUGCUUAGCACAUGCAAGUCGAACGCUGAACCCGCUUCGGUGGGGGAUGAGUGGCGAACGGGUGAGUAGCACGUGGGCAACCUGCCCCCGGCUCUGGGAUAACUCCAAGAAAUUGGGGCUAAUACCGGAUGUGACCGCUGGCCGCAUGGUCUGGUGGUGGAAAGGGUUUCCGGCUGGGGAUGGGCCCGCGGCCUAUCAGCUUGUUGGUGGGGUAGUGGCCUACCAAGGCGACGACGGGUAGCCGGCCUGAGAGGGUGACCGGCCACACUGGGACUGAGACACGGCCCAGACUCCUACGGGAGGCAGCAGUGGGGAAUAUUGCGCAAUGGGCGGAAGCCUGACGCAGCGACGCCGCGUGGGGGAUGACGGCCUUCGGGUUGUAAACCUCUUUCAGCAGGGACGAAGCGCAAGUGACGGUACCUGCAGAAGAAGCACCGGCCAACUACGUG
rnacentral:rRNA from 1 species